rnacentral:rRNA from 1 species
UACCAGCACCCCGAGUGGUCGGGACGAUUAUUGGGCCUAAAGCAUCCGUAGCCGGUCCUGCAAGUCUUCCGUUAAAUCCAGCUGCUCAACAGAUGGGCUGCGGGGGAUACUACAUGGCUAGGAGGCGGGAGAGGCAAGCGGUACUUUAUGGGUAGGGGUAAAAUCCGUUGAUCCAUAGAAGACCACCAGUGGCGAAGGCGGCUUGCCAAUACGCGCUCGACGGUGGAGG